ACAGCUUCUCAUCUUUUGGCUAGAAUCAAGUGUAGCAUGUGUUCUUACCAGCUUAAUAUCUGGUGUGUCCUUUAUCCGACAAUAAUAUAUUCAAUGAUUUUUUUUUUUUGAAACAGAAAGACUCUUCUCUGUCUGCUCCAUGCAUACACCUGGUACCACAAUGCCUCUGAGAAUGAUGUACUUCAU
rnacentral:snRNA from 1 species